CCUCGCCUUAUAAAAAAGAAAAGAAAAAAAAGGGAAACAAAAUUAUUUCUGCCUAUGGCUUCGCAAAUUCAGUGCGCUGCUUCACCACCACUGCCUUCUCUUCCGACCUUAACACCAAAACGUUUGCCUUCCCCUUCCCUGUUUUUUCCACGACAUCUACCUCUCACUCGCCUUUCCCUUUUCCACUCCACUUACUUGCCGUCUCCUAGGUCCGUCACCGUCGAAUCUCCUACCUCUACGGAUGGUCUUGAUAAUUCCAAGACCCCUCUUCUCGAAGUCAAAGGUUUAACUGCCGUAAUUGCUGAAACCAAACAGGAAAUCCUCAAAGGUGUAGACCUCGUCGUUCACCAAGGAGAGAUUCAUGCUAUAAUGGGAAAGAAUGGCUCUGGGAAGAGUACGUUUUCAAAGGUUCUUGUUGGCCAUCCCGAUUAUGUGGUGACAGGAGGCAAUGUUGUGUUUAAGGGAGAGAAUUUGCUUGACAUGGAGCCGGAGGAAAGGUCUCUUGCCGGACUUUUUAUGAGUUUCCAGUCCCCGGUUGAGAUCCCGGGUGUGAACAAUAUCGACUUUUUGCACAUGGCAUACAAUGCUCGAAUGAAAAAACUUGGUGAGCCAGAGCUUGGUCCACUUGAGUUCUAUGCUUACAUAUAUCCUAAACUUGAUCUCGUGAACAUGAAGACUGACUUCCUUAACAGAAAUGUCAAUGAAGGAUUUAGUGGAGGUGAAAGGAAGCGCAACGAGAUUUUGCAGCUUGCGGUUCUUGGGGCAGACUUGGCUAUACUAGAUGAAAUUGAUUCUGGCUUAGAUGUUGAUGCUCUUCGAGAUGUAGCAAAAGCAGUGAAUGGACUUUUGACUCCUAAGAACUCUGUUUUGAUGAUCACUCAUUAUCGACGGCUGUUGGAGGUUAUAAAACCGACAUGCAUCCAUAUUAUGAAUAUGUUCCAAUUUGAUGUUUUCAGGAGGAUGGAAGAAUCAUAAAGACAGGAGAUAGUUCCUUAGCCGAAGUUCUUGAGGAAAAAGGCUAUACUGCAAUUUCUGCUGCAUAGUAUACAAUUCUUAACUGCCUCUGCUCCACAGUGUUUUACAUCGUUACUUGGGAAGGAAUUGAUGCUAGAAGAUCUCUACAUUUAAUCAGGUUCCACCAUCAUUUUAAGGGAAUUUAGAGCCUUGGGGAAGGUUAUUGUUUCAUAUUUAACCACUUGUUUUGGCGUAUAAAAUUGAGGGUUUCCCACUUGGGGACGGGGGAGUCAGGGAAUUCAGAAAGACAAAACUUUGUUACUACAUGAUUAUUAGUGUUGACCACAUCCAUUUUCAAUGCUUUACCAAGUCUGCUCCAUCUGAUAAUUGUAGUCUGAUUAUUUGAUUAAAGUGAUACUUUCACAGAAAUGAUUACAAUUCCAUUGCCGUGUUUUUAGUUGUCAUGAUAAGGAAAUUGUAGUUUUUUUUAUAACUGUUUGUUGUGAUCUUACAAUGAGUGAGAGAGAUUUAAGAUCAUUGUAUUUGGCAUGAUUAUAACGAUAGAGAUAAUUGUGGUUGGUAUUACAUGAAAAUCAAAUAUUA